GACGAACGCUGGCGGCGUGCUUAACACAUGCAAGUCGAACGGAAAGGCCCUGCUUGCAGGGUACUCGAGUGGCGAACGGGUGAGUAACACGUGGGUGAUCUGCCCUGCACUUCGGGAUAAGCCUGGGAAACUGGGUCUAAUACCGGAUAGGAGCCAUUUUUAGUGUGAUGGUUGGAAAGUUUUUUUCGGUGUAGGAUGAGCUCGCGGCCUAUCAGCUUGUUGGUGGGGUAAUGGCCUACCAAGGCGGCGACGGGUAGCCGGCCUGAGAGGGUGGACGGCCACAUUGGGACUGAGAUACGGCCCAGACUCCUACGGGAGGCAGCAGUGGGGAAUAUUGCACAAUGGGCGCAAGCCUGAUGCAGCGACGCCGCGUGGGGGAUGACGGCCUUCGGGUUGUAAACUCCGUUCGCUAGGGACGAAGCUUUUUGUGACGGUACCUAGAGAAGAAGCACCGGCUAACUACGUG
rnacentral:rRNA from 1 species